GACCGCUUGGCGCAAUGGCAGCGCGUUUGACUCCAGAUGGAAAGGUUGGGCGUACGAUCCGCUUCAGUGGUCA